rnacentral:snRNA from 1 species
AUACUUACGGUGUGAGACAUCUAUUACCCCAUUGAUCACCAGGGUUGAUUUGGUGGCCUGGCUGGCGAGGCAGGUAUCCCCUCCCUUCCUCACUGCUCCACGGGAAUUCCUCCUGAAGCUGUGUGCUCAGUCAAAGAAGACAGCUUUCCCUGAAUAGAGGCGGACCGUUUGGUCAAGGGUAUACAAAUAGCUGCGCUCCUCUGCUAGAAUUUCCAAACAAGUUCUCAAAGUAUUUCUCCCCAAGAAACUAGGGAUAAUAAAGCAGGUAGGACAGUUGCCUUGCAGGUGGCUGACCCGAGUU